GACGUAGGGGGCGAGCGUUGUCCGGAAUCACUGGGCGUAAAGGGUGCGUAGGCGGCUUCUUAAGUCCUGUGUGAAAUGCCCCGGCUCAACCGGGGAGGGCCAUGGGAAACUGGGGAGCUCGAGUGCCGGAGAGGGCCGUGGAAUUCCAGGUGUAGCGGUGGAAUGCGUAGAUAUCUGGAGGAACACCAGUGGCGAAGGCGGCGGCCUGGACGGUUACUGACGCUGAGGCACGACAGCUGGGGGAGCAAACAGGAUUAGAUACCCCCGUAGUCC
rnacentral:rRNA from 1 species